rnacentral:pre_miRNA from 1 species
CAAGUACUCCCUCCGUCCGAAAAUACUUGUCAUCAAAAUGAAUAAAAGGUGAUGUAUCUAGAUAUAUAUUAGUUCUAGAUACAUCCUUUUUAUCCAUUUUGAUGACAAGUAUUUUCGGAUGAAUGGAGUACAAA